UAAGCAGUGACUGUUGAUUAGUACUAUGUCUGGGUCAAUGAUUCUGUAGGUGUUUGAAAGUGAAAUUCUUCUGUUGUUCCAUUGUUGUACGUUAUGUUGAAUUAUUUUUAAACCGUUCGGGGCCAUGUUGCGUGUGUUCCUUGUAGUGUGUGUUAACAAUUACUUCGAGUAUUUUCUUUUUCUUUUUGAUGUGUCUUUAGGUGGUGGUGUUUCUUUCGGCUAUAAGCCCAGAUCUUAUUUUUCUAAACACAGUAUCGUCAACUAUGUUCCAGCAUGAUCUGUCUAUUGUAAUUCCAUUGGUUUCAGUCAUGUUCAGUAGUUCAGUGUCUUCUAUUGUAUAGUCUGUGUAUAUGUAUUUGAAUUUGUUUUCAUUCAGACUUGUGACCAGCAUUCAAGAUGACAAAUGGUCGGGCCAACCUACACUUACAGGGGUAUAUAUUUUUAGCUGUAUGUCUUUACUAUUUAUUUUUGCAUUACGACUUCUUUGGUGAAUAGUAGUUUCCUCUGAUUCAUGUUGAAAUUGUGCACUGGAAAUCGGUUGCUGCCUGCUACCACUACCCAUCACAUCACAUCAAAGCUCCUCCCUUCCUCUUCCCAACGGCUGCCGCAGACACAAGGGUAAGUUCACUUAAGCAUCACUUAAGCCACGGCCCGUCAAGAGCCGCAGCAGCCCUGCGCUGACGACAGCCCGGACCUCGAGGCGCGUACAGUCGGAGCAGUGUGGUUGAACUCUGACUUUGUCUUGCUCCUGCUUUGUAUUCUCAGUACCAUAAUUUUUUUUUUUCUUCCUGAGCCUGCUUCUUUGUCUCAUCAUCAUUCAUAUUUUCCUCUUCUUGGGUCAUAAUCUUGAUGAGUUUUCUUGAGUCUGGUGCUUCUGGGAUUUUUAUAUUAGGGAUGUUAUUUGCAGUGAAGGUUGAAUUCAGUACUGUCUCGUAGCAUCCGGGUUCUGUUAAAUUCAUUAUAUGCACAUGUAUCAUACAUGAAUAUAUCUUGAGAUGAAGAUCCUUGUUUAUGGUUGCAGGAGGAGAUGCUGUGGUGUUCCAAGUUGUUGUUUGUGUGUUGGUUGCCUUCGCGUAUGUAUUGUUUUUCUCUUUUUCUCUAAGUUGUUUUAUGAUCUCUUUCCUUUUGGGGCAUUUCAUGGACAUGGUUCUGUGAUCCCUCUCGCAGCUAAUACACCUUUUCACUGAACUUUUACAGUCCCGCCAUGUGUGUGUUGUCUCGGUGCAUUCAGAGCAAUUUUUAUUUAUUUAUUUAUUUUUUUGCUUGGGGCAGGAAUUGGUGUUAUGAUCCUCUAUAGCAUAACAUUUAAAGCAAGUUCGGAUGCUGUAAAAUUUCUCUUGUUGGAUUUGGUGUUUUGGAAUGCAUGUGGAAAAGACUGAUGCCGUGAUCUCUUGCUUUUAUUGCUGUUGUGGCUUCUCCAAAUGUAAUUUUCAUUGUUUUGGAAUUUGGGAAUUUGAAUACGUUGUGUAUCAAAUUAAUCCAGGAAUUUUGCUGCUGAAGUUCUUGUGUGAUGUCCUCCUCUGUAUUUCUGAAGAUGUGUGGGUCCACAUUGAAGACAAUUAUUGAUCUCUUUGCCUUCAGUUCAGGGAGGAUUUGUGGGAUGAAACCAUGCUCUUCUAACUCUGAACAUGUCUGCAGUUGGAAUAUCUGAUCGAGGUUUUCAUCCGUGGAGGUUAUCACUGCGAAGCCAUCACUCAGAGGGAUGAGUUGUUGGAGAGAAUACCCAGUAGACAGGACUGCUUCCUCGGAUCUUUGGAUUCAUUUGCUAUUAUUUUAACUCUAAUGUGUAGAGUGUCAAUGUAAGUGUUGGGUCCAGAGCAGCCCCGGACUGGACAGCCCCAAGCACAGGUCGACCGCUAAUCAAUCUCCUAUGCUCGAGGACACCAAACCGAAAGACCGGUCUGGCACUCCCGUGAGCUAACAGCGAGACUGCUCCGAGGAGCAGAGCCACAGCUACCUAGGGAAGAACUGCCUACAGCUUCCCCUCCCACGGCCCCCACCUGCUAAGAGGCGUCGAAGGGCAGGGGGAAGCUGCCUCCAAGGAGACUUCCUAACUCCCUAUUGCCCCAGACCAACCGCUUCCUACAAUCACCCCUCUAGAGGGGCCCCCCUGAACCAAGCCCAGGGGGUUCACCUUCGUACCACGGCUGGUACAGCUAGUGGGCGUGAGAAUGUGGAAGAAAGAAAAGGAUAGAAUUAGAGAAGCCCUGCGAAUACCCAGUGAGUGGAGACUGAUACUAAGAGACCUUAGCUCAGAGGGCGGCUCCCGCGAACGCCGUACGGGUCCCUGGUACUAUCUCCCAACCCUGGGCAACAGGAAAUUGUCUAUACAGGGCAGGCCCCUAGUUUGAGUUCCGGAGGAACAACUGAGACUCACUGCUCAAGGGCGAGCUCUGCGCCAAAAGGAGAGCCCCGGUACACAAGCGCAGGGCAGUAGCAGCAAAAAGGCUCCGCGAUGGUGACACCUCUCAGGAACAGAGUCCAAACAUUCCUCCUCACGCUAAGUCCACAAAUCGACUUAGUUUAUGGCCAACAGGUGUCAAGUGGCGUUCAGACACAAGUCCAGAGACUCGUUCUGAGACUAAAUCCACAAGAGUCCGACGAGUCAGGGCGCGGGGCAAAGAUCUUGUGAAUAUAGACAUAUGAUUAUAGACAUAUGAUGCACAGUCUUCCCCCGCCUCUCCCCGCUGCCAGAUGUCUUGCCGACAGAGCUGUUGGUCACCACCCAUUGCCGGGGGCAGGAGCUGCCCAUAGGAAGCCACCCUGCUUCACACACCGCGUAAGACAACAUCCCCGCCCUACAACUCAGGGCGCGGAGCAGAGGCAGAGGGAUCCCGAGUUCUUCAGGUCAAUUAUUCUCGCAAUUGGUCUUUGUAUAUACAUGUAUUAAUAUUGUUUUGUUUUUUUUUCUUUUCAGGAGUAAAGGAGUGUGGAGGAAGUCGGUUUUAUCAUUUUGGUUUUACAACCGCCUCAGGUGACUGUGGUAAGUGUUAUUUGUAUAUCGGUUCAGGUACAGUAUUAUAUAAAUUUAGGCUACUAGGAAAAUUAC